AUAUAUAUAUAUAUAUAUAUAUAAAAGACCCUAUCUCCAAAACCCUAGCUUCCCUUGGCUCCUCUUUUUUUUUUAUUCAAUUAGGAGAGGAUUCCUACUGCAACUGGCUAAUUUGGAUUGCCUGCAGUAAUUUUUUUAUUCAAUUCUUGUGAUUUAUUUUUUAUAAUUUGAUUGCAAAAUUUGGAUUGCCUGCAAUUUCUUCUCUCAGAGAUGUGACUUUUUUCUGCAGUAGACUAUGCGUAUUCAUGGGGGCCAUUGUUGCUUGUUUGUUGGACUGCAUCUUCUAAUUUGUGAUUUUAGUUAUUAGUGUUUUCUAAGUUUGGUUUCAAGUUUUCUCCACAUGUGGGUUUUGGUUUUAUUGAUGGCUUGUUCUAUUGUGUAGGCCAUUGUUGUUCGUUCUAUGCCCCUGCAUCAUCGAAUUUGUAAUUUUUGUUAAUAUUUAUAGUUUUCAUCGCAUGUGGUUUUUGGAUUGAUCGGUCUUCGCUCUUUGUGCCUUUCGUAGUUUUCACUUCUCAUUGUUUUGCUCCAGUAAGGGAGUCCUGCAAUUGUAAUUGGAACAGCUGUUCGAUUGUUUUGAUACUCAAUUUAUUGGCAUUAAAACAAUGGAAUGCUUUCUUCUAUUUUUCAAGCAAUGGGUUUGGCUUGAUUUGAAAAUAGGGUCUAACUUUUGGGAACUUAUGGCAAUCAGAGGUGUUUUACUUUGUGAUUUACAAAACUUAUGGAAAGCAGAGGUGCUUCACUUUGUGAUUUACCAAUUUCAUCUGUUAUUCUGUGUCCCUUUGAUUUCUGUUUGGGAUUGCGUUUUUAGGAAAAUGAGAUAUUCCUUCAUACCUUAGUGGCCUGUAGAAUUCACUUCAAUCGAAUUUGGGUGUCCUUAGUUUCAAUAUUUUGGAAUUUAAUUAUAAAAAAACAUUUGUCCCAAGUUCAUUAAGACUGUAAUUUAUCUGUCUCUCUAAGGCACCGAAGAUCAAAAGAAGCUCCUUCUGGUUUUAUGCAAAUUGGUGGAAAUAUUAAAAGCUAGUUGAGUGGAUGGUAUUUGAAGGGGGUAGGGGUUCUGCAGGUCACCUCUGAAACUCCUAUAGUCCUAUGAUCCCUAAUAACUUAAAGCCAAAGAAGUUUCUAAGGAUGGAAGCGGAGCAAAGACAUAGGCUCACUCUCUCCGAUGAACUCUCGGUUCUGCAAUUGCUGCAGAACCUUCGAGACCUCCUCAGAGCUGCUGCCCAAGAACCCAACAACACCAACCAUGAAAUCCAAAACACCUCUUCCAGAAGUGGAACCUGAAGAUGAAUGGAAGACUGGAUAAGAAAGGAAUUGAAUUCCAUUGAGUGAAUUCAAUGAAUAUUUUCCUUGGCCAUCAUCGAAUUCAGAUGGCAUCACCCAUACAUGUUUCUUUUUACUUCAUGUCUUUGCAACUUUGGUGGCAAUCAUUUGGUUCAUUUGAUCUUCUGAUUAAUACAAUAUGUGUAAUCCAUUGUUUUCAAGACUCUUGUAUCGGCAAGAGUCAUAGUGAUUAUUUGGAAUAAUAUUCAGUCUACAUCAAGGGAAUUAGAUAUC